UCGCCACGGGAAUACCAGCUCUCCGAGUGGUGUGGAUGUUUAUUGGGCCUAAAGCAUCCGUAGCCGGCUGGGCAAGUCCCCUGUUAAAUCCAGCGAUUCAAUCGUUGGAUUGCGGGGGAUACUGUUCGGCUAGGGGGGCGGGAGAGGCCGACGGUAUUCCCGGGGUAGGGGUGAAAUCCUAUAAUCCCGGGAGGACCACCAGUGGCGAAGGC
rnacentral:rRNA from 1 species